rnacentral:lncRNA from 1 species
CCAAUCACAUGAUCUCAACCUAACUGCAAGGGAUGCUGGGCAAUGUAGUCCAGUCAUGUGGCUAGCAGGAAAAUGCAGGGGGCUUGGUGAAAAUUUGCUCUAGGUCCCAGACUUGGCAAAUGAUACAAGAUUUAACUCACACAGUCCGGCUUCCAAGCCCACACUCUUAACCACUGUACUCUCAUUUUUAUUGGCCAGAGCCCAGUCACAUGACCCCAACUUAACUGCAAGGGAUGCUGGGCAAUAUAGUCCAGUAGUGUGGCUAGCAGGAAAAUUAAAGGGGUUUGGUGAAUCCAUUGCUCCUGCCAUCACCCAGAUUAAAGACCUGCCCUCUCAUCCGGCUGCCUGUUUUUCUUAUGUCCAGCAGUCAGGGAUUGAGUGGGCAAGCACUGUGGGCUGCAGACACCAAGCUCCACCAUGAUUCCCCCUCCACUCUCAGAGGCUCCAUCCAGCUGGCAGGCUCACAGCACUGCAGCCCAGCAUCUGAAGUGGAAAAUUGGAAUUACUAUCCUAGGCAAACUGGAAUUUAUUCUUCAAAAUUGUUGAAGUUAUCUCCUCAGUGGGAUGGUACUGUCCCUAGGCUGAUGACUGUCACAUUUUUAGUGGGGCCAAAACUUUCCUCCAAGAUUCAGAUGUGUGUCACCAACUAGAGAGCAGGCUUGGAAUUUAAAA